UUAUUUCAAUUGUUACGGACACGGAGAUGGAAACGAAAAGGAAAAAAAAAAAAAAUAGAAGCACCAGAGAAAGAAAGGGGGGCAAAAAGGAAAAGGGGAGAAGAGAAAGAAGGAUGAAAGUCUGCAUGGUUUAAGAUUCAUUUCCUCCUCUCCAUCCACUGGUCUCCUUCUCUACCUCCCCGGUGGAGGCAGCGUCGGUGCUGCUGCGGGUCGUGUUGUGGGGGUCGGACCUGCACGUGCCGUGGACUCACGUGCGGUGCAGACUGACGAUCACGCUCUCAGUCAGAGACUCAUCGUGAGCUAAAAAUAGCAGCCGAGAGGAGGAGGGACAAGACGACAGAGGAGAGAAAUAUAAACUUUGGGGUUAUUUUUACCCACCCACACGGUCUAUGUGCUGCAUCCCCGUGCGCGACUCCUUCCUUCCCCCCCUGUAAAGCCCCUUUGCUGCUUCUCAUUUCUAUUUCAGUCACGGCUGUUCCUCUGUGGCAAUCAGACUUUAUUUUGUGGGAUUAAACCGGAACACGCGACCGCCCCCAGUCAGGUGUGGGUCCGCCUCACUUGAAAUCACGCAGAAACUGUAGUUGUGAAUGAGCGUCAUCGAGGAGCAAAACUAUGUAGCUGCUGUACAUACCUGGCAGCACUGUUACCAUACCAACCGUGCCUUGCCAAUAAACUCCUUGCAUGUUCACAGGCUGA